rnacentral:rRNA from 1 species
GAACGCGAAGAACCUUACCUACUCUUGACAUCCAGAGAAUUUGCUAGAGAUAGCUUAGUGCCUUCGGGAACUCUGAGACAGGUGCUGCAUGGCUGUCGUCAGCUCGUGUUGUGAAAUGUUGGGUUAAGUCCCGCAACGAGCGCAACCCUUAUCCUUUGUUGCCAGCACGUAAUGGUGGGAACUCAAAGGAGACUGCCGGUGAUAAACCGGAGGAAGGUGGGGAUGACGUCAAGUCAUCAUGGCCCUUACGAGUAGGGCUACACACGUGCUACAAUGGCAUAUACAAAGAGAAGCGAACUCGCGAGAGCAAGCGGACCUCAUAAAGUAUGUCGUAGUCCGGAUUGGAGUCUGCAACUCGACUCCAUGAAGUCGGAAUCGCUAGUAAUCGUAGAUCAGAAUGCUAUCGGUCC